AGAGUUUGAUCCUGGCUCAGGAUGAACGCUAGCUACAGGCUUAACACAUGCAAGUCGAGGGGCAGCAUGGUCUUAGCUUGCUAAGGCCGAUGGCGACCGGCGCACGGGUGAGUAACACGUAUCCAACCUGCCGUCUACUCUUGGACAGCCUUCUGAAAGGAAGAUUAAUACAAGAUGGCAUCAUGAGUCCGCAUGUUCACAUGAUUAAAGGUAUUCCGGUAGACGAUGGGGAUGCGUUCCAUUAGAUAGUAGGCGGGGUAACGGCCCACCUAGUCUUCGAUGGAUAGGGGUUCUGAGAGGAAGGUCCCCCACAUUGGAACUGAGACACGGUCCAAACUCCUACGGGAGGCAGCAGUGAGGAAUAUUGGUCAAUGGGCGAGAGCCUGAACCAGCCAAGUAGCGUGAAGGAUGACUGCCCUAUGGGUUGUAAACUUCUUUUAUAAAGGAAUAAAGUCGGGUAUGGAUACCCGUUUGCAUGUACUUUAUGAAUAAGGAUCGGCUAACUCCGUGCCAGCAGCCGCGGUAAUACGGAGGAUCCGAGCGUUAUCCGGAUUUAUUGGGUUUAAAGGGAGCGUAGAUGGAUGUUUAAGUCAGUUGUGAAAGUUUGCGGCUCAACCGUAAAAUUGCAGUUGAUACUGGAUAUCUUGAGUGCAGUUGAGGCAGGCGGAAUUCGUGGUGUAGCGGUGAAAUGCUUAGAUAUCACGAAGAACUCCGAUUGCGAAGGCAGCCUGCUAAGCUGCAACUGACAUUGAGGCUCGAAAGUGUGGGUAUCAAACAGGAUUAGAUACCCUGGUAGUCCACACGGUAAACGAUGAAUACUCGCUGUUUGCGAUAUACUGCAAGCGGCCAAGCGAAAGCGUUAAGUAUUCCACCUGGGGAGUACGCCGGCAACGGUGAAACUCAAAGGAAUUGACGGGGGCCCGCACAAGCGGAGGAACAUGUGGUUUAAUUCGAUGAUACGCGAGGAACCUUACCCGGGCUUAAAUUGCAGAUGAAUUACGGUGAAAGCCGUAAGCCGCAAGGCAUCUGUGAAGGUGCUGCAUGGUUGUCGUCAGCUCGUGCCGUGAGGUGUCGGCUUAAGUGCCAUAACGAGCGCAACCCUUGUUGUCAGUUACUAACAGGUUCCGCUGAGGACUCUGACAAGACUGCCAUCGUAAGAUGUGAGGAAGGUGGGGAUGACGUCAAAUCAGCACGGCCCUUACGUCCGGGGCUACACACGUGUUACAAUGGGGGGUACAGAGGGCCGCUACCACGCGAGUGGAUGCCAAUCCCCAAAACCUCUCUCAGUUCGGACUGGAGUCUGCAACCCGACUCCACGAAGCUGGAUUCGCUAGUAAUCGCGCAUCAGCCAUGGCGCGGUGAAUACGUUCCCGGGCCUUGUACACACCGCCCGUCAAGCCAUGGGAGCCGGGGGUACCUGAAGUGCGUAACCGCGAGGAGCGCCCUAGGGUAAAACUGGUGACUGGGGCUAAGUCGUAACAAGGUAGCCGUACCGGAAGGUGCGGCUG
rnacentral:rRNA from 1 species